AUCAAUUCGAGCAAAAAUCUCACGUCAUACUUUUUGAAAAAUAAAUCGGUUCAUAAAAUGGAUGGCAAAUAUCUAAGUACACUACCUAACAGAGUUUUGGCUGUCACUUGUCAGCGAUGAAGUUCUCGCCCCGCCCCUCAGACCGAAUUUGAGUUCGGACUUUGCAAAAUGCGAAGAGUGAAUUAAGAUUUCAGAAGCUUUGAAUACGAGUUAAUUUGAAUCUAACACAAAAAUAAAAUAACAAACUAUGUGCUUAUAUAGCGUUCUUAGUUUAUAAAUGAGUAUGGAGCCGAAUAAACUGCUAAAUUCGGGUGUAUUACCGAAAAUUAUCGACGCCGAGUGGAAGUUAGAAGUGGUAACAAAUUCUGCCGGAAUUGGUUCAGAUAAUUUGUUAUACACGGUAAUAUUGAAAACUGAUGGUGACGAUGUGACUUUUACCUGUGGGAGCCAAGAAUUGCAAGAUCUCGUGUACAAAUUGAAAGAUUUGGUGAGACAUUGUGAGAAAGUUAAGAGUGAACUGUCGUGAUGUUAGUGUACACAAGUAACUGUUUAUCUCACUAUUAUUAAUACACGUUUGUAUUAAAAAAUCUGGUUUUUAAAUAUGUGUCCUAAAUGUUUAACAAUAUGUUAAUAUAUUCUGGCCAUAUUAAUUAUUGUGGAAAUAUUAUAAGUAGUAACAUUGAUACUUGAAACUGCG